rnacentral:rRNA from 1 species
AUGAACGCUGGCGGCGUGCCUAAUACAUGCAAGUCGAGCGAACGGACGAGAAGCUUGCUUCUCUGAUGUUAGCGGCGGACGGGUGAGUAACACGUGGAUAACCUACCUAUAAGACUGGGAUAACUUCGGGAAACCGGAGCUAAUACCGGAUAAUAUUUUGAACCGCAUGGUUCAAAAGUGAAAGACGGUCUUGCUGUCACUUAUAGAUGGAUCCGCGCUGCAUUAGCUAGUUGGUAAGGUAACGGCUUACCAAGGCAACGAUGCAUAGCCGACCUGAGAGGGUGAUCGGCCACACUGGAACUGAGACACGGUCCAGACUCCUACGGGAGGCAGCAGUAGGGAAUCUUCCGCAAUGGGCGAAGGCCUGACGGAGCAACGCCGCGUGAGUGAUGAAGGUCUUCGGAUCGUAAAACUCUGUUAUUAGGGAAGAACAUAUGUGUAAGUAACUGUGCACAUCUUGACGGUACCUAAUCAGAAAGCCACGGCUAACUACGUG